rnacentral:pre_miRNA from 1 species
GAGGGGAGGCCGGAUCCUGGGCUGUUUCCCAGGCGCCCUGUGCUCCCGGGCCUGCGCUGUUGGAUUCGUGCUCCCAGUGGCGCAGCCGCCU